rnacentral:rRNA from 1 species
GACGAACGCUGGCGGCGUGCUUAACACAUGCAAGUCGAACGGAAAGGCCCUGCUUUUGUGGGGUGCUCGAGUGGCGAACGGGUGAGUAACACGUGAGUAACCUGCCCUUGACUUUGGGAUAACUUCAGGAAACUGGGGCUAAUACCGGAUAGGAGCUCCUGCUGCAUGGUGGGGGUUGGAAAGUUUCGGCGGUUGGGGAUGGACUCGCGGCUUAUCAGCUUGUUGGUGGGGUAGUGGCUUACCAAGGCUUUGACGGGUAGCCGGCCUGAGAGGGUGACCGGCCACAUUGGGACUGAGAUACGGCGCAGACUCCUACGGGAGGCAGCAGUGGGGAAUAUUGCACAAUGGGCGGAAGCCUGAUGCAGCAACGCCGCGUGCGGGAUGACGGCCUUCGGGUUGGAAACCGCUUUCGCCUGUGACGAAGCGUGAGUGACGGUAAUGGGUAAAGAAGCACCGGCUAACUACGUG